GGGCGCCGUUGGGCGAUACGAGACGUCGUCCACCCGCGGGCAGCCCCAAGGUGAUUUUGACCUUUCUCGCUACCGCGAGCUGGCCGGAGGCGGACCCCGCCGAAUUUUGGAUUAGCCCCAGGUUCAACAGCUUAUCUUUCUGAACCUGUCGCGGAGGAGCGGGGCCCGCCGAGGUUCUGUGCCCUCGUCGCCCGGCCGCGUACGGGGCCAAGAUGACGUGCCCGGCCGCGGCCCGGCCCGGCUAGAUUGUCACCCGCACCACACCCCGCCGCCGGGACUUCAGACAGCUGAUAAGUGUCUCGGGCCUUGAAUCCCUAUACUCAAGAUGCGUUCUUGUCCACAAGGUUGAUGGUUCACAGCAAGGAGGAUGGAGACCGGAAAAUAUAAAUGGAUGUGUGAAUACAAGUAGGUAAAGUCAUGGGAAUAUGGCAGAGAAACAAUGGCCUAGGGUCAAAAAUGGAAAUUAUCAU
rnacentral:lncRNA from 1 species